rnacentral:rRNA from 1 species
UUUGAACGCUGGCGGCAGGCUUAACACAUGCAAGUCGAGCGGGGGAAGGUAGCUUGCUACCGGACCUAGCGGGGACGGGUGAGUAAUGCUUAGGAAUCUGCCUAUUAGUGGGGGACAACAUCUCGAAAGGGAUGCUAAUACCGCAUACGUCCUACGGGAGAAAGCAGGGGAUCUUCGGACCUUGCGCUAAUAGAUGAGCCUAAGUCGGAUUAGCUAGUUGGUGGGGUAAAGGCCUACCAAGGCGACGAUCUGUAGCGGGUCUGAGAGGAUGAUCCCCCACACUGGGACUUAGACACGGACCAGACUCCUCCGGGAGGCAGCAGUGGGGAAUAUUGGACAAUGGGGGGAACCCUGAUCCAGCCAUGCCGCGUGUGUGAAGUAGGCCUUAUGGUUGUAAAGCACUUUAAGCGAGGAGGAGGCUACUUUAGUUAAUACCUAGAGAUAGUGGACGUUACUCGCAGAAUAAGCACCGGCUAACUCUGUGCCAGCCGCCGCCGUAA